AUUGAACGCUGGCGGCAGGCCUAACACAUGCAAGUCGAGCGGAUGAAGGGAGCUUGCUCCUGGAUUCAGCGGCGGACGGGUGAGUAAUGCCUAGGAAUCUGCCUGGUAGUGGGGGAUAACGUCCGGAAACGGGCGCUAAUACCGCAUACGUCCUGAGGGAGAAAGUGGGGGAUCUUCGGACCUCACGCUAUCAGAUGAGCCUAGGUCGGAUUAGCUAGUUGGUGGGGUAAAGGCCUACCAAGGCGACGAUCCGUAACUGGUCUGAGAGGAUGAUCAGUCACACUGGAACUGAGACACGGUCCAGACUCCUACGGGAGGCAGCAGUGGGGAAUAUUGGACAAUGGGCGAAAGCCUGAUCCAGCCAUGCCGCGUGUGUGAAGAAGGUCUUCGGAUUGUAAAGCACUUUAAGUUGGGAGGAAGGGCAGUAAGUUAAUACCUUGUUGUUUUGACGUUACCAACAGAAUAAGCACCGGCUAACUUCGU
rnacentral:rRNA from 1 species